GAUGAACGCUAGCGGCAGGCUUAAUACAUGCAAGUCGAGGGGUAGCAAGAUUGUAGCAAUACAAUUGUUGACGACCGGCAAACGGGUGCGGAACACGUACACAACCUUCCUACAAGUGGGGAAUAGCCCAGAGAAAUUUGGAUUAAUACCCCGUAACAUAGCGAUGUGGCAUCACAUUGCUAUUAUAGCUUCGGCGCUUGUUGAUGGGUGUGCGGCUGAUUAGAUAGUUGGCGGGGUAACGGCCCACCAAGUCUACGAUCAGUAGCUGAUGUGAGAGCAUGAUCAGCAACACGGGAACUGAGACACGGGCCCGACUCCUACGGGAGGCAGCAGUAAGGAAUAUUGGACAAUGGACGCAAGUCUGAUCCAGCCAUGCCGCGUGAAGGAUUAAGGUCCUCUGGAUUGUAAACUUCUUUUAUAAGGGACGAAAAAAGGUCUUUCUAGAUCGUCUGACGGUACCUUAUGAAUAAGCACCGGCUAACUCCGUGCCAGCCGCCGCAGUAA
rnacentral:rRNA from 1 species